ACCCCAAGCCUGGCUGCAGAUCACAAAACCACAUUCACGUCGAAAGCAACAAUCCCCCAAAUCUGUCUUGCAAACGCCGUAGAUAACGCAGAUUCCAUGGCCGUUUGUUCUCUUUCGCUGACCAGCUGCGUGUUCUCGCUCAGACCUCCUAUUCGGUCAUAUUUGUCGUUCGACCGCGCUCUCGAACUAUGGUUUGAAACUGUGCCUGAACUCUUCAUUUCUUCAUUUCUAAAUCGAAUCUAGGUUCUCUAGUUACUUUUCCUUUGUCAAUUGAGAAAUCAAGCUCGCAUUUUUUAAUUACUCUGACCGAUUUCAAACAUUUCUAGGUUUUCAUUAGCUAAUUGUAUUUAUGUGAUCGUUCGAAUCCUUGCUUGAACGUUAACAGACUCAAUAAUGUUGUCUGAGAAAUCCAGUGACGACCAUGUCACAACCAACCACAGUGAUUCCUCUUCGCUUUCGGCGAGAGAGAAGAAGAGCCCUGUUACGGCCGAUGAGAAGAAGAACUCUAUGGCCGAUAAGGUGAAGGAGAUUGUUGAUACCACUGACCUCCACUUGGAUGUACUGGUUGAUUUGCAUCCUACCGUUUCCCCCAAUCCUUUCGGUUUAGGCCGAGCCUUCGAAAACAUCCCACCCUCUUCCUUGUCCGAAUUCUACCCAUUACCUGAGAAAAAACUUCCUUUUAGUCAGAAAUUUGAAGCUGAAGAUUCUAAGGGCCCAUUUUUCUACAUUAGGAGUUGGCACAUACCCAAUCAAGAUUGGAUUGAUUGGGUGGAUCGUGUAGAGGCCGAGAAAGGAGACCUAUGGAAGGAAUUGGAUAUCUAUGAUGCCAUUAUGUUUAGCAAAGUUAAGGUUUCUAUAGACAAGCCUCUGCUAUUUUCUUCUCUUUUCUUUUGGUCUGUUUCGACCAAUGCUUUCCAUUUUCGGUGUGGGAUGAUGAGUCCCACUAUUCAGGAUGUUUGUUUUCUAACGGGGCUUAGGCCGCAUGGGGAGGAAAUACAUCCUCUUCUUUUUAAUCCGCACAUUGCUUAUGACUAUCCAACCAAGGAUGCAGCCACUGGGACUAGGCACAUAUCAUCUUACAGCCAUUUUCUGUCUGUUUGCAAAGGAACCGGCCCGGUCACACUGACUGAACAUAUAGCAUUUUUGAUUUAUUGGUUGAACAAAUGUAUGUUCCGUGGUCCUGCAGGUGCAAUUACUAAAGAUUUCACCCAAGUAGCUAUUGCAUUGGCAUCAGGCCAAAAGCUGGCCUUGGCACCUUUAGUUCUCUCCCAUCUUUACAGAGCUAUUCAUGACUUUAUUGCUGUGAACUUUGCCACUGGUGCAGGUCCAUUAUGGCUCCUCCAAUUUUGGCUCCAAGCUUACUUUCCCGAGCUUGGUCCACAGAUCAACCCUUAUGCUGAUGUUCCCCUUUAUGGUUAUCACUAUCUUGCUGCUCAGCCAAAAUCCCAAAGUUUUGCAGCCUGUUUUUGCUACUUCUAUGACCAGGCUAUAUAUCGGUCUCCCAUGCAGUUUAUUCCUUUUCUUCCCAGGACCAAGGGACCCAAGUGGCUUCUAUACGGCCCUGGCGAAGCUCCUCCUGCAGAUGCUGAGGAACACCAUGCUGUUUGGUCUAGCUUUCUUAUAGGCAGGGACCUACACUAUAGCCCCGCACGUCUAGGUUCUGCCAAUUGUAAGUGUGGAGUUGAAUAUUACAAUGCCGCCCAAUUGGCUAGACAAUUUGGUCUCACACAAUUGGUUCCUCUUCCUCCUUACCCUUCCUGCAACAAGGUGUUUUCCAUUCGAAGCUUUAUCUCUUCUGAUGCUCAAAUAAAGAAUACCUCAAAUCUUUUCCAAGAUUUCAAAACUGAUUUUCAAGUAAAAAGGUUUGAGGAAAUGCCCAACUCUACUUCAGCUUUUGACAUCUGGUGGACAAAAUACAUAAUUACCACACGGGUUGAGGAUGCUGGGACGGUUUUGAUGCGUAUUAGUGCAUAUUUUGGUUCGUUGGAGCCCAACAAAUCAGUUAUCAACUCUAAGAAGAAUGAUGGUUCUGUUCCCACUGUUGUGCGGAUAAAGAAGAGAAAACCUCCAACCAGAAAAAGUAAAGCUGCCCUGCCUCCAACGCAACCAAUCCUUUCGGCACAUGAGGAAGAGAAGGAAGAAGAAGAUGCCCUUGCUUGUCCUACCUAUAAGAAGGUUAGAAAGUUAAAGACUUCAGCUACAUUUCCUCGUGGCAAGCGUGCUCCUCAAAUUUCCAAGGAGAAGGAGAAGAGAAAGAAGAGAAAGGUAGAAAGGAAGAACAAUGAUGAAGUUCUCCACAUGGAAGCCCAGCCAAAGGGUUCAUCACAAGAAGUCACUUUGGCGGCUGUUGCUGACAUUGGUAUUCCUGUGGCUGAUAUUUCUUCAACAUUGGCCUUUCCAUCUAUAUCUUCAACCAUUGCUGCUAUGGUCCGAACAGCUGCUGAAUCAACUGAGACCAAAUCUCCUACUUGGGUCAACAAGGAAAUUUGUUCAGCCACAACUUCUUCUUCCCCAGGAAACCAAGGCUCCAUGGAAGAGUUGGACGCCUUCUUCCGUAGCAUAGAGUCAUCAGUUGACGCUGAUGAAGAAGUGGGUGAAGUUACUGUGGUAGCCACUCCUCCACUAACAGGCCCCUCUGAGGAAGAUAUUGAGAAGGCCAAAUCUUUUUUAAUGUCCACAGUUUCCAAGGAUCUUUCUGAGCUGCCUAACAUUACUGCAGAACUAACUAACGCUCUUUCAGUCCUGACCAGCAUCUUUGUUUUUACAACUGAACAGUUUGCUGCAUUGGUCACACUUCAAAAGCAGCUUCCUACCAUUUUGGCUGAGUAUCACUCCUUCACUAAGACCUCACAAGAUUGUGAUUCCAAACUUCAACUGAAGAAGAGCUUGGGAGAUCAAUUGAAAGCUAAUGUGGCCAUGUAUAAGCAAUCAAAAGAGACUCGAGCCAGGUUUACCCAGAGAGAAACCGAGAUUGAAAAGGAGAUAGCCAGGCUUCAACUUGAGCACAGCAGCAUUAGAAAGGAGAAUGAGGAGAUUGGGUACAAACUUAAAGACCUCCAAAAGGAAACCAUUGAGCUUAACAAACAUCGGUCACAAAUCAUUGCGGAAGCACCCAGGCUGGAAGCUGAGAAGAAGAAAGCUGAAGAAGGAGUUGCUCGGACUGAGCAAAUAUGGACUGAACUUAGAAGCAAAUUUGUGAAUAUAAUGUGAAUAUUUCAAUGUAAUUAAUGAGGAAUUGAAAUCUAAAGGGUCUCUUCUCUGCUCAUCAGGUGUUCCGGAUUUGCCAUGUUGCUAUCCCCUUCUAUUACUUGCCUAAGUCAUGGGUUAUGCAGGAAGAAAUUCUCACUGGAGGGCGCACUAGGCUCAGGCUCAACGCUCUGUUGAAAGGUUUCAACAAUAUUAACAAAAAAGUCACCAGACUAAAGAAAAUGCACAACUUGGAUGAACUAACUGAAGAAAUCAUGAAGUUGGAUAUGAACAAGGAAAAGACAGGAUCAUCAGUUGAAUGUUUCAGUAAGGUCCUCAAUCUUGAAGCUUGAUGCAAAUUGAGAUUUACUACUUAUUGUUGGUAAUGUUUUUAUAUUUUCUUUCCUCUUUGGGUUGAUAUGAAAAGUCAUAUAUUUUCUUCUCUUUGGGUCAUAAGUUUUUGAUAAAAUGUUUUGGGACUUGGUGAUAGUUAUUACUGGAGUAGGAGGAGUUUCAUUUGGAUCGUACUUUGGUUUACUUGGCUAGAAAAUCUGAAACCAUUCCAUAUUAAAGCCUCAACGUUCCAUUUUACACUGUUUAUAUGUUAUUAUAUGAUCUUAGAAACUGGUCUAUGAAAAUCAAGUUGAAAAAGGUUGAUUUAGAGUACUAAACAUAUUUAUUAUUUUUUUCAUUUUUCUAGAUUUUGCCCCAAACAAUUAGAGGAAAAGGAAGACAAAACAAAAUGUUAUGAUCAAGAAAAUAUAUGCAAAUAUCUCAUUUAGUAGACCCCUCAUACAUACGCGUACCAAACUUUAGGAUCAUAUAGUAAUUAAAAAAAAAAAAAAAAAAAAAAAAAAA